AAACUAACUACCCCUGGUAAUUGGCAGGUGUACGUUCGUGUUCAUAUAGAAUAGAGAUGAGUGUGUGAGCUUUGUGAGCGCAUAUAUUUGUAGUGCUGUGUUUUAACAAAAUAUCCACAUCCUUCUACUUCAAUAUAACCAAUCUAUAGAGGACCAUUUUGUAAUUACCACAACACCCAGAAGUCUAAACAGAUAGAGUACUGGAGGAGUAGUACUACUGCAAAUCCCCACCCCAAAAAAAUAAAAAAAAAAUCUGCUCUUAACAACUCCCUAUAAAGCUACCACUACGCCCCCCUACCGCGGAGAAGCAACCAAUCCAAUUCCGAACAAGCAAGGCACCAAAUCCCCCCACCAUGGAUCACCGCCUCCUCCUCCUCGGCCUCCUCCUCCUCUCCCCGGCGGUGGCCGCCGCCUCAGUCCCCGGCGAGGAGGAGCCGCUGAUCCGGCAGGUGGUCGGCGGCGGCGACGACAACGAGCUGGAGCUGAACGCGGAGCGCCACUUCGCCAGCUUCGUCCAGAGGUUCGGGAAGUCCUACCGUGACGCCGACGAGCACGCGUACCGGCUCUCCGUGUUCAAGGCCAACCUCCGCCGCGCGCGCCGCCACCAGCUGCUCGACCCCUCCGCGGAGCACGGCGUCACCAAGUUCUCCGACCUCACCCCGGCCGAGUUCCGCCGGGCCUACCUCGGCCUCCGCACGUCGCGCC
rnacentral:lncRNA from 1 species